CUGACCCAUUUCUCUUUCUCAUUUUUGCAUCCUGGCCUUAGGUGGUUGGUUUUGAUCUGCCAUGUGCUCCCUGCCACUGCCAUCCAGAAUUCCCCACAGGCCUAAAAGCAAUCAUGGACUACAAACUCUAAAACUGUCUCAAAGCUUCCCACUGCUAUUGGAACUGAAGGAUGACAGCUAAAUAACCCCCUUCUCCACUGGACACUUCCUUUCCUGACCUCUCCUUGUCAUAGGCCUUUGGCUAUUGCUUAACCCAUGCAUCAUUAAAGUUAUUCAAGACCAGAUUCAAAGGAUCUCUAACCAAACCAUGAACCAGCUUCUGCUACAGGACUUCCAACCCCUCACCAAAUUUGGGGCAUCCAGAGUCAGCAUCACUGGGUCCUAACCAUUGCCUCAAUAACACGUUGAGCCCCUAACAAGGGUGCAGACACCUCCCCUUCCAAGCAGGAAGAAGAUGCAGAAGAUCUAUCUACCCUCAUGUCCCUUAAGGGGCCCAAUAACAAACAAAAAAAAGAGGGAAUGCAAGGUCCUUGCUUAGCAUCUUGAUGGCCAUUUUUUUUAAAAGGUUUUGCUUUUCCACUCAAGGGCCUUUCUGAGAAAGGCUCCCCACUUCCUCAUACCACCCCCACCCUUAACUGCCCACAUAAGAACCCACCAGCCUCUAAUCCCUGAGCUUCCCCCAUAAAAGUCUCAAACCCAAGCCCAUGUUGCACUCUCCAUCUACGGAGACAAAUUUGUCAGUUCUGACAAAUAAACUCUCCUAUGUAUAUCUGCCUGGCCCUUCUCCAAGUUCCUCACUUUCCUUUCAACUGUCACCAUUUGAUUUCUUAAGAAAGUUUAAAGAAAGACCCUAAAGUCAUAUAAACAACACUUUAUGACCUUACCAUAUAUUUCACUGCUCUUGCUAGCCCCUACCUAACAACUCCAUUUUGAUCUUCAGCCCAGUCUACGUAGGAGCUUAGUUCAAAACAAUGGCCUCUUCUACUUUAUUUAACAAGACCAGAGUAUCACCCAAACAUCUAAGAGCUCAGAAUACUGUUCACAUAAUCUCUUCUUUUUACAUUUUAAAAUUUUUGCCUUUUUAAAAAUAGAAAAUGUCAUGCAUAAAAUAGAAUAUUAUACACCCUUCCUGACUCAUCACCCAGCUAUCAAAAUAAUCAUCCCAGAUCCUGGUAGUCUUAUUGUUCACCUGUGAACAUUUCAUGCUUGAGAAAACUUCUGGAAAAAUCAACUCUAACCAAUCAAUGGGUAGCAGAAAAUAUUUCAGCAAAGGAAUAGCAUAGAGCUGUUAGUAUUUUCAACUGCACAUCUAGGAAGAAGACAAAGGUGUGACUGAGUGGUGGGGAAUAGAAUGUAAAUAUUACAUGUCUUCUUUGAAAGUCGAAAAAAGACAAUUAAAAGAAAGAGCGAGGAAAAUCAGAAGAGGAAGUGGAAGUAGAAAACUCGGUUCCUUGCCCAUCUGGAGUCUGAUGAGAAUCAAAGCUGAAAAGCCAAGUGCUUGAGGUUGUGUCUUCUGCUGGACUAUGAAGAUAAAUACAAAGAAGUCUCCUCCUACUGACUGAAAAUUGCUGUGAAGAGGAGGAGGGAGGAAGGAAUACAAAUCAAAGAUUUAAGGGAAAGGUUUCCGUCCUCAAAUGCAGCACUUUGUAAAGUUAAAGGGUGCAAUUACAACUUACUUUGAAGAUCUUCA